AGAAAGCUGGGUAGGAUGUGAGGCUAUGAGAAUGCAGACCUAGGAAGGGAAGAGGGGAGCCGCCAUCUUAGGUAGCUAGCGUUUAUAAAAUGGCCGCUUCUGAGAGAUGUGGGCUGAGUGCCAGCCAGGGUGGUGGGCACGAAGGAGAAGGGUUUCCCAGCCGACCAAGAGCAGACCUGAAUAUCACUAUCAGUGGGAUUAGAAAGGGAGAUGGAGGGAGGGUAGGAGGGGUCUCCCAGAAGUUACUGUGGUAGAAGCCUUAUCCCUGGAUACAGAUCCCAGAGAACCCGAGGCUAUGGGUGAUGUCAAAGGUGUGGAAGAAUUGGGUUGGAAAGACCAGCAGGACAUAGACAGGGUAAGGUCCCUUGAAUGCUUGGUUUAUGCGCCUGGCUGAA
rnacentral:lncRNA from 1 species